rnacentral:rRNA from 1 species
GGUGGCGCGCAAUAGAGAAGAGAGGGAGAGAGGGGGGACGGGCAAUAGAGAAGAGAGGGAGAGAGGGGAGGGGCUGCGGGUGGUCUAGGCGUGGGUGGCGACGGGGGCGGCGAGGAGCGAGACGGCGGAGGAGAGGAGCGGCCGGCAGAGGCGCCGGACGGAGGAGAAGCCGGAGCGGCCCAAGGAACGGUGGUGCCAGAGGGAGAGGGCCCACGGGCGGCUCCGAGAUGAUGCGGCACCUGCGCGACGAGGCCAGCCCCGUGCUCCUGCACAUGCGGCGGCAGCUCGCCGGCGAGGUCGAGCACGUCUGGCGGCGGCAGGAGCUCUAGGAGGUGCCCGAGCAGCCCGACCACUCCAGCGGCCACAGCCGGUGCGACGGCGUCUAGCCCAGCGCGGAGAAGCAGUGGACCCCGUAGGAGACCUCGAAGGGGCUCUGGUCCUGUGCGUAGGACCACUCGAGGAACCAGUAGUCGACAAGGUAGUGGCUCCAACCUCCUUCGAUGACCAGACCGUAAGUCUAAACACUAGCCGUUUUCGUUACUGUUCAGAUUCUACCGUCGAGAACUUUCUCUCCAACUUCUUAUACUACUAAAACACGAAAAUCUAGAAUUAGAAUACAAAAUCCAAUCGUAAGAAAUUCCGACGGAUACGCAACAAGCUAAGACUAAAGAUACAAUUUCGACUACUACUGUAAAUGAACUCUGGUCCAAUCCCCAUGUAUUUUGUAUGCCACAUGUUCAACUCCCUUGUUCUCGCGUUAAGUAUGGUAUACAAAAAAACAUAAACGCUUGCGAGUGGACCCGUUAAUAUGACACAUCGUGAGCAGCGACGGACGAAUAACAAAACUAACGAGAGAAAACUACUUGCGUCCAUACUCGGUAUCAGGAAGGAUGAACCUAGUCUUAUGAAGGAAGUACGUAUACCCGGAUAAAUAUGAUGGUUCACUUUACGAUGUAAAGAUGAGGAUUGGGUAAGAGAGAAAGAAUCACAAAAAUAAUACGUCCAACCUUCUUUUGUUCUUCUAGGCCUCUUCUAGAAUCAUUAUUCUAUCAAAAAAUCCUUUUAUCUAUAAAUCAAAAUCUAGUAAGGAACAUUAUAAACAACCUAUACACAAGUACCUAUACACAACC